UCGUCUCCAGACAGCCACCAAAUAAAAUUAACACAAUUCAAAUUAACUAAAGUAAACUAGAACCCUCAGCAAUUAGCAAACAAUAAAAAUAAAACUAAAGAACCCUGAAUUGCAGAACAUUGCAAGAACACUAAGUCUGUUAACCCAGCUUCAAACCCCUCGAGAAUACAGAAAUACCUGAAGAAAUAUGCCUCACUGUUUCAAAUCCUAGAUUCAAUUUCGCAACAUCCCAUCUUUGAAUCCCUAGUGAAAAAAGAAAAAAGAAUCAAGAUCAAAAUCAAUUUUGGAAAAAAAAGAAAAAAAGAGAGAAGAAUAAUUGAGGUCGGUCCACUUGUUUUUGUUGUUGUUGUUGUAUAGGAUACGAAACAAUCCAUUAAACUAACAUGAAAGUUAAGAAGUAAUAUAAGGGAAUGAGGAAGGGAUCCUGAGGAAGGGGAAGCACCUUGUGGGCAUAGGGGACCCAUGAUUGCUGCUUAGAGUGGCAAUUCUGUCGCCUGCGUCUUUUAUUAUGUUCCUUUUUAGUAUGAGCAAAUUACAUAUUGGAAUUGGAAUUGAGAAAUUAAUGAGUGAUUUGCUGUUAUGGAUUGUGAUGUGUAAAAUUGUAUAAUGCUGGUUGUGCAGCUAUAAUUUUUUUCAAAUGGUAAAAAGGCAAAAACAAAACAUCCCUUUUCUU
rnacentral:lncRNA from 1 species